GACGAACGCUGGCGGCGUGCUUAACACAUGCAAGUCGAACGGUGAUGGAGAGCUUGCUCUCCUGAUCAGUGGCGAACGGGUGAGUAACACGUGAGCAACCUACCCUUGACUCUGGGAUAACAGCUGGAAACAGCUGCUAAUACCGGAUACGACCCUGGCGGGCAUCUGCCGGGGUGGAAAGCUCCGACGGUCAAGGAUGGGCUCGCGGCCUAUCAGCUUGUUGGUGAGGUAACGGCUCACCAAGGCGACGACGGGUAGCCGGCCUGAGAGGGCGACCGGCCACACUGGGACUGAGAUACGGCCCAGACUCCUACGGGAGGCAGCAGUGGGGAAUAUUGCACAAUGGGCGAAAGCCUGAUGCAGCAACGCCGCGUGCGGGAUGACGGCCUUUCAGCAGGGACGAAGCGAAAGUGACGGUACCUGCAGAAGAAGCACCGGCUAACUACGUGCCAGCAGCCGCGGUGAUACGUAGGGUGCGAGCGUUGUCCGGAAUUAUUGGGCGUAAAGAGCUUGUAGGCGGUCUGUCACGUCGGAAGUGAAAACUCAGGGCUUAACCCUGAGCCUGCUUUCGAUACGGGCAGACUUGAGGGAUGUAGGGGAGAACGGAAUUCCUGGUGGAGCGGUGGAAUGCGCAGAUAUCAGGAGGAACACCAGUGGCGAAGGCGGUUCUCUGGACAUUUCCUGACGCUGAGAAGCGAAAGCGUGGGGAGCAAACAGGCUUAGAUACCCUGGUAGUCCACGCCGUAAACGGUGGGCACUAGGUGUGGGUCCCAUUCCACGGGAUCCGUGCCGAAGCUAACGCAUUAAGUGCCCCGCCUGGGGAGUACGGCCGCAAGGCUAAAACUCAAAGGAAUUGACGGGGGCCCGCACAAGCGGCGGAGCAUGCGGAUUAAUUCGAUGCAACGCGAAGAACCUUACCUGGGUUUGACAUAUACCGGAAACAUCUGGAGACAGGUGCCCCGCAAGGUCGGUAUACAGGUGGUGCAUGGCUGUCGUCAGCUCGUGUCGUGAGAUGUUGGGUUAAGUCCCGCAACGAGCGCAACCCUCGUUCUAUGUUGCCAGCGGUUCGGCCGGGAACUCAUAGAAGACUGCCGGGGUCAACUCGGAGGAAGGUGGGGAUGACGUCAAGUCAUCAUGCCCCUUAUGUCCAGGGCUUCACGCAUGCUACAAUGGCUGGUACAAAGGGCUGCAAUAUCGCAAGAUGGAGCGAAUCCCAUAAAGCCAGUCUCAGUUCGGAUUGGGGUCUGCAACUCGACCCCAUGAAGUCGGAGUCGCUAGUAAUCGCAGAUCAGCAACGCUGCGGUGAAUACGUUCCCGGGCCUUGUACACACCGCCCGUCAAGUCAUGAAAGUCGGUAACACCCGAAGCCGGUGGCCUAACCCUUGUGGAGGGAGCCGUCGAAGGUGGGACCGGUAAUUAGGACU
rnacentral:rRNA from 1 species